rnacentral:tRNA from 1 species
CUCUAGAUAGCCUAGUGGUUAAGAGGCUAUGGAUCGCUAAUCCGGAGACGGCGGGUCCGAUUCCCGUUCUGGUCG